GACGAACGCUGGCGGCGUGCUUAACACAUGCAAGUCGAACGGAAAGGCCCUGCUUUUGUGGGGUGCUCGAGUGGCGAACGGGUGAGUAACACGUGAGUAACCUGCCCUUGACUUUGGGAUAACUUCUGGAAACUGGGGCUAAUACCGGAUAGGAGCUCCUGCUGCAUGGUGGGGGUUGGAAAGUUUCGGCGGUUGGGGAUGGACUCGCGGCUUAUCAGCUUGUUGGUGGGGUAGUGGCUUACCAAGGCUUUGACGGGUAGCCGGCCUGAGAGGGUUACCGGCCACAUUGGGACUGAGAUACGGAGCAGACUCCUACGGGAGGCAGCAGUGGGGAAUAUUGCACAGUGGGGGGAAGCCUGAUGCAGCAACGCCGCGUGCGGGAUGACGGCCUUCGGGUGAUAAACCGAUUUCGCCUGUGACGAAGCGUGAGUGACGGUAAUGGGUAAAGAAGCCCCGGCUAACUACGUG
rnacentral:rRNA from 1 species